rnacentral:rRNA from 1 species
AGAGUUUGAUCAUGGCUCAGAACGAACGCUGGUGGCGUGUUUUAUACAUGCAAGUCGAGCGAGGACAGUAGCUUGCUACUGAGCCGAGCGGCGAACGGGUGAGUAACGCGUAAGCAAUCUGCCCCACAAUCGGGAACAACCGUGCCAACGCGCGGCUAAUGCCGGAUAUUGUGUCCUACUGCAUAGUAGGUUAACGAAAGAUUUAUCGUUGUGGGAUGAGCUUGCGUCCGAUUAGCUAGUUGGCGGGGUAAUAGCCCACCAAGGCGACGAUCGGUAGCCGGCCUGAGAGGGUGAUCGGCCACAUUGGGACUGAGAUACGGCCCAGACUCCUACGGGAGGCAGCAGUAGGGAAUAUUGCGCAAUGGGGGGAACCCUGACGCAGCAACGCCACGUGUGGGAAGAAGCAUUUCGGUGUGUAAACCACUGUCGGAAAGGAAUAACGGAAGACUUCGGUCUUUAUGAAUGUACUUUUAGAGGAAGCACCGGCAAACUUCGUGCCAGCAGCCGCGGUAAUACGAGGGGUGCAAGCGUUGUUCGGAAUCACUGGGCGUAAAGGGAGCGUAGGCGGAAGUGUAAGCAAUCUGUAUAAUCCUGGGGCCCAACCCCAGUUCUGCAGAUUGGACUGUAUUUCUUGAAUAGUUCAGAGGCAAGCGGAAUUUCUGGUGUAGCGGUGGAAUGCGUAGAGAUCAGAAAGAACACCAAUGGCGAAGGCAGCUUGCUGGGGACUUAUUGACGCUGAGGCUCGAAAGUGUGGGUAGCAAACAGGAUUAGAUACCCUGGUAGUCCACACUGUAAACGAUGCAUACUGGGUGUCCGAAAUUCGUUUCGGGUACCGUAGCUAACGCGUUAAGUAUGCCGCCUGGGGAGUACGUACGCAAGUAUGAAACUCAAAUGAAUUGACGG